GUCAUUGUUUUAAUUUGCACUGACAUUUUGCUGUGUUUGUUUAUGAUUUAUUAGAAAGGGUUCCCAGUCAUUCCCCAAGUGCUCAGGACAGCCAGGGCCAGGCUAGAGCUGGGAGCCAGGAACUCAAUCCAGGUCUUCCAUGUGUGUGGCAGAGACCCAACGUUUUGAGCCAUCAUUACUGCCUCUCAGGUGUGCAUUAGCAGGAAGGCGGAUGCAGGAGCCAGAGUGAAAUGAUCACUAGUGAAGGGGAUUAAUCCUUGGUUCCAUGAGAAGAGAAAAUUAAGAAGAUGGCAAAAGGUGUUCUUUUCCAGGACAGCGCCUCUAAGGAUUAUUCAUGUCUUCCAUUCUUCAGAUAAAGAAACACGAUUCUAUAAUGAACAAAAUUUUCAUUGAUACUUACGUCAACAUUCACGGUGUGGUAAUCUGAACUUGUGGG